ACGGAGGGGGCGAGCGUUAUUCGGAAUUAUUGGGCGUAAAGGGCGCGUAGGCGGCUUGGCAAGUCAAAGGUGAAAUCCCUCGGCUUAACCGAGGAACUGCCCUCCAAACUGCUUUGCUUGAGGCCGGGAGAGGCGAGUGGAAUUCCCAGUGUAGCGGUGAAAUGCGUAGAUAUUGGGAGGAACACCAGUGGCGAAGGCGGCUCGCUGGACCGGUUCUGACGCUGAGACGCGAAAGCGUGGGUAGCAAACAGGA
rnacentral:rRNA from 1 species